UAGAAUCUUCAAAAAUAACUGUUCGGAGACUGCACUCCUUUUAAGUUGGUUUUAUGUAGUAUAUCUUUUUGAGUACUAUUCUUCUUUUUGAAGCUGUGGUUUCACUAUAUGAAUCGUGUUGCUGACUCUUCUUCUAGUGUGUUUAGUUUGUUUGUGUCCCCAUCCAGCUCAUUAUUGACUUUAUGCGAUCUAUUGUGCCAUUACCCUAAGGUUGCGUCUCGAAGCACGAAUUAAUUGGCAUAAAGAUAAUCACCAGUGGGGAGCAUCUUGAUAUGGCUAUUUUCAAAUCUGUAAUGCUGGUGCUUUCAUUAUGCAUGGUAGUUGGAAUACUUUUGGAUUUGGGCUCCAUUUUGUGACUACUUUUGAGAUGUACCUUUCGUGUGGUUUUUCGUAUUGAAGAAUCUUCAUUUGUGUAAGUUAGCAAAGACUAGUAAGCUCUCAAGCCUAGGGCAACGCUGUCGUUAUCAGCUGUUUCAAUUAAGGAGUAAGGUUACUCUCCCACAGUUCUUGGAAAGCUUUAAAUUGUUAGCUAGGCUAUUCGAUUGUUAUGUGACAAAUAUCUCACAGUUGUUGCUGGUUUAAUUUUAAGGUCAAUUAUUGUCCCUGAGACUUACUGCCGAUUUUUCUGGUAGUAAAUGUUGCAGAUGAAAGGUUUUUUUUUUUCCUAAUAGUAAAUGUAGCAAAUGAAAGUUGGCUCCAGGAAUUUUUAUUCCUGGAUCUUGGAUAGUAAGCUAAAUUGAUGUGUCACUUUCUUUCUUACUAGUCCAUCGUAAGAAUCUGGGUAUCGGUCACAAGAAGCAGGAGGUAUAGAGUAAAUUCUUACGACAUUGUUUACGAGUUUUGACUAUUUCAGAUUUAGAUUUUCUAACGUGGAAAUAUCUGUGGUAGUUCAAGUGUCUUGCUUGUUACGAUGUUCUCCGUUAUAUGUAAUGUGAAAUCGCUGAUGUAGAUACAUGUUAUUCGCUUUUCUUUUUUCAUCUGUUCUCACUGGAUUAGAAAAUAAGACCGUGUAAAAUGUCUAUUUCCUAAUUGUGCUUUUUUGUUUGCUCUCUUCUUCUCUAUUAGAUGUAUUGAUGUACCAAUCAACUGCAACAACCUUUUCGCAGAGCUAGGACUUGGUAUAAAUUCCGUCUAAAGGAGAUCUCCAGUAAGAUUACUGUGCAGUAGACUUUAGCAUUGAAUAUGAGGAAGAAUCUGUGUUAGUUGGUUUAAAUGACAGAAUGGAAUUCCUCUGAGGAGUGAGAAAAAGAAGAAGAAAAACCUGAAUUGAGUGAGAAAAUCCAACUCCUUUAUAGCACAUUUUUCAUACAUUAACAACAUGACCACUACUCUUCUACUGCAGCAUAAAUUGCUUGACAGUUUCAUAAAGAGAUUAUUUUUCUUACAUUUGGGAAGAGGAAGGUUCUUUAGUGAGAUAACUGAAGAUACUGUGUAGCAGGAAGUGAAAGAACACCAAGAGAAGAAGGGAGGCAUGAGAGAGGAGAUCAGAGAUUCAGCUGUUGGAAUCUAGAUUUUAGAAUAUUUCUGAACAAUAGUCAUUCUCCAUAAUCUGUUCUAUUGCUGAUAGUUUCAUGUGGCCUGGUCUGAUAUUCGAUCUUUCGGAAUUUAGGAUAAAGAAAAUGUAAUGGUACCCUACAUCCUUAUUUGUUCCAGUGACACUUGGAACUUGAGUAUUUCUCCUCUUUGCGAAAACAUGUUUUGUUAUAUCAUC